rnacentral:rRNA from 1 species
AGAAUCAACGCUGGCGGCGUGCCUAACACAUGCAAGUCGAACGAGAAAGUGGAGCAAUCCAUGAGUAAAGUGGCGCACGGGUGAGUAACACGUGACUAACCUACCCUUGAGUGGGGAAUAACUUCGGGAAACCGAGGCUAAUACCGCAUAACACCUACGGGUCAAAGGAGCAAUUCGCUUAAGGAGGGGGUCGCGGCAGAUUAGUUAGUUGGCGGGGUAAUGGCCCACCAAGACGGUGAUCUGUAUCCGGCCUGAGAGGGCGCACGGACACACUGGAACUGAAACACGGUCCAGACUCCUACGGGAGGCAGCAGUGGGGAAUUUUGCGCAAUGGGGGAAACCCUGACGCAGCAACGCCGCGUGGAGGAUGAAGUCCCUUGGGACGUAAACUCCUUUCGAUCGGGACGAUUAUGACGGUACCGGAAGAAGAAGCCCGGCUAACUUCGCGCCAGCAGCCGC